UUCCGGUUGAUCCUGCCGGACCUGACUGCUAUCGGAUUGAUACUAAGCCAUGUGAGUCAUUGUAGCAAUACAAGGCAGACGGCUCAGUAACACGUAGCCAACCUACCCUAUGGACGGGGAUAACCUCGGGAAACUGAGGAUAAACCCCGAUAGAUCAUAAUGCCUGGAACGGUUUAUGGUCCAAAUGAUUCGUCGCCGUAGGAUGGGGCUGCGGCCUAUCAUCUUGUUGGUGAGGUAAUGGCCCACCAAGGCUAUUACAGGUACGGGCUCUGAAAGGAGAAGCCCGGAGAUGGGUACUGAGACACGGACCCAGGCCCUAUGGGGCGCAACACGCGAGAAAACUUUGCAAUGUGCGCAAGCACGACAAGGUUAAUCCGAGUGUUUCCUGCUACAGGAAUCUUUUGCUAGCCCUAAAAACACUAUCGCACUAGGGGUGGGCAAGUUCUGGUGUCAGACGCCGCGGUAAAACCAACACCUCACCUGGUCAGGAGGAUUAUUGAGCCUAAAGCAUCACGUAGCCUGUUUUGUCAGUUUCCGGUUAAAUCCCUUAGCUCCACUGAUGGGACCCCGGAAAUACUGCAAGCUAGGGAGUGCUGAGAGGUAUACCGGACUCGGAAGGGAAAGGAUACAUCCGUUGAUCUAUUGAAGACCACAAGCGCCAAAGCGGUCUAACGAAUACGUUCCACGGUGAGCGAUCAAACUGCUAGAGCAAACGGUAUUAGAACCCAGGGUAUUCACCCCCUGUAAA
rnacentral:rRNA from 1 species